ACGGAAAAUCUCAGGACAACAGCAGUGCCUAGACCCAACUUCAAAAGACGUGCAGACAAUGUUGAAAAAUUUCACAGAUUUGAAGACGACCCAACCAGGAAGGAGAAGACCAAUAAGACCUCAGUAAUUUCAUCCAGGCAAGGAGUGAUGGUUUCCGUUGGAUAUCCCACACAUGCCUCAGGAACAAAAUUGCCUCAACCAAAGAGGACGCAAGUUGGUGGAAGUCUGCAAGCUUGUUCUGUGGUGGGUUUUUUUUUUCCAAAGCCAGAUAUUUGGUAGAUCUUGUACUAAUGUUCAAGCUAAGGCAACAUGCAAUUUACUGGACUUUAUAGCACGACAACUUAGCUGUUUAAAUAUAGCCAACUCUGUUGAAUGAACCAAAUGAUGGUUAGACAAGUGUUUAAAGCCAGUACGGGAGAGUCUUCCACUUGGCUUGCAUAUCACACCAACUUUGACCUGGGCUAAGUGUGUAUUUUUAUUUAUCAAAUGUAUAUGUAGCACAAUCCCAACCAAUUCGGUGUUGUAAGCCAUCGUUCAUGAUUAGUGAACCCAGCCAAGUAUGAUCCUAAAACAAGUAUUAUGUAUGGUUCCUGGUUCUGUUUGAGAGCUAGCACAAUCUAGUAGGAUGGCCAGAAUGCUUGAAAUAAUUAUCCAGAAAAACCUUUAAUCACUACUGAUGGGUUCCCAAAAACUAUGUAGUUAAUUUUAGAUAAACAAGGACCUUUGCACCUACAUUUAGAAAAUAGAGAAGAUAUAUAGCUCAGGAUUGCACUGUUAGGCUGCAGAAGUCUUGUGAGUCUGGUUUUCUAUGGCAGUUUUAAAUGUUCAUGGCUGCAAAUGAGCAACAAGCAAUGUUGUAAUGUGUAAACACUAGAACACUCUACCCUUAGAGGUUAGAUUGGCCUGGAACUUGCUAGUUUCUCUGCAAAGCCCUUAAAACCUGGAUGAGUGCCAGAGCAUGGGAUUUUAUAGGUUAAGUGGCUUAAGCAUAAUUCUUGGCUUGCUGAUAAUCUUUGGUUUAUUUUGUCAACAUCCCUUACUGGUUCUUUGUUUCAUUGACAUCAUUUUAUUGUUUUGAAUGUGUGGUAGGCUGCCCAGAGCCACAUCUGCAGUGUGGACAGCUGCAUAAAUGAAUUUAGUUAACCACAGAAAUAACCAAAGAUUAAGCUGGAACGAGAUCACGGUAUCGCUCCUCUUUCUUACUUAACAAUUAACCAGAUAACAGGCCAGUCUUGCAGACAGGGCAACUCACCAAUGACAUGUAACUGAUUGUACAGACAUUAAUAUAUUUUACAAUGGAAAAAUCCCAGCUGGUAGCAUUGCAGAUAUGAUUUGGCCAGUAAUGAAAUAUUUAAAAAUGGGAAACUAAGCUUGGAGAAUAUAGCUUUAUUGAAUAAAAGUUCCUCGGUUUUGUUGAACUGCUUUAAAAUAUAUAUAUUCUGUUUCAACAAAAAUGUGCAAGGAAUUCUCUACUAUAUAUUCCUAAGACUUUAGAUAUGCUUACAUAUCUAGUUCUUUCAAUCUGUUAAAAUUAAUAAUGUAAUUUAUAUUAUUCAUCCCACCUUGUGUGGGAAUUUAAAGCUAGUCUCCUCACUCCAAGAAAUCUGUAGAAAAAUUCAGUCCUCAUUUCCAUUUUAUGUAGCACAAACAAAAAUAUUUUCUUAUAAGUCAGUUCUAAAGAUUUGCUUUUGUUAAAUGUAUUUUUAAAUAUAUGAAACAGGUACAUUUAUAUGUGAGAUGAUGUAAUACACAUUUGUUCAGUUCUUAAAUUGUUACUGAUAUUGCUUACA